rnacentral:rRNA from 1 species
AACGUAAGUGGGUGGGCACCUACGUAAGGGAGACGUGCCGGGUGACAAACCGGAGGAAGGUGGGGAUGACGUCAAGUCAUCAUGGCCCUUACGGCCUGGGCUACACACGUGCUACAAUGGUCGGUACAAAGGGUUGCCAAGCCGCGAGGUGGAGCUAAUCCCAUAAACCGAUCGUAGUCCGGAUCGCAGUCUGCAACUCGACUGCGUGAAGUCGGAAUCGCUAGUAAUCGUGAAUCAGAAUGUCACGGUGAAUACGUUCCCGGGCCUU